CUACGGGUGGCUGCAGUGAGGAAUUUUGCGCAAUGGGGGAAACCCUGACGCAGCAACGCCGCGUGAGCGAAGAAGGCCUUCGGGUCGUAAAGCUCUGUCAAGUGGGAAAAAAAUUCUUUGAUGAACAGUCAAAGGACUUGAUGGUACCACUGGAGGAAGCACCGGCUAACUCCGUGCCAGCAGCCGCGGUAAUACGGAGGGUGCAAGCGUUGUUCGGAAUUACUGGGCGUAAAGAGCGUGUAGGCGGUUUGACAAGUCAGAUGUGAAAGCCCCGGGCUCAACCCGGGAAGUGCAUUUGAAACUGUUUCACUAGAGUAUGGGAGAGGAGAUUGGAAUUCCUGGUGUAGAGGUGAAAUUCGUAGAUAUCAGGAGGAACACCCGUGGCGAAGGCGAUUCUCUGGACCAAUACUGACGCUGAGACGCGAAAGCGUGGGGAGCAAACAGGAUUAGAUACCCUCGUAGUC
rnacentral:rRNA from 1 species